rnacentral:rRNA from 1 species
CAUGAUUUGUAGCAAUACAAAUGAUGUCCAGCGGCGCAAGGGUGCGUAACACGUGGGCAAUCUGCCGAGAAGUGGGGGAUAGCUCGCCGAAAGGCGAAUUAAUACCGCAUGUGGUUAAGGACGACAUCGUUCUGACACCAAAGCCGGGGCAACCUGGCGCUUCUUGAUGAGCCCGCGGCCUAUCAGCUAGUUGGUGAGGUAACGGCUCACCAAGGCUAUGACGGGUAGCUGGUCUGAGAGGACGACCAGCCACACUGGAACUGAGACACGGUCCAGACACCUACGGGUGGCAGCAGUCGAGAAUUUUUCUCAAUGGGGGAAACCCUGAAGGAGCGACGCCGCGUGGAGGAUGAAGGUCUUCGGAUUGUAAACUCCUGUCAUUUGGGAACAAUUGUCAUCCGUUAACUGCGGGUGGCUUGAUAGUACCAGAAGAGGAAGAGACGGCUAACUCUGUGCCAG